rnacentral:rRNA from 1 species
ACGGGUGAGUAAUGUCUGGGGAUCUGCCCGAUAGAGGGGGAUAACCACUGGAAACGGUGGCUAAUACCGCAUAACGUCGCAAGACCAAAGAGGGGGACCUUAGGGCCUCUCACUAUCGGAUGAACCCAGAUGGGAUUAGCUAGUAGGCGGGGCAAUGGCCCACCUAGGCGACGAUCCCUAGCUGGUCUGAGAGGAUGACCAGCCACACUGGAACUGAGACACGGUCCAGACUCCUACGGGAGGCAGCAGUGGGGAAUAUUGCACAAUGGGCGCAAGCCUGAUGCAGCCAUGCCGCGUGUAUGAAGAAGGCCUUCGGGUUGUAAAGUACUUUCAGCGGGGAGGAAGGCGGUGAGGUUAAUAACCUUGCCGAUUGACGUUACCCGCAGAAGAAGCACCGGCUAACUCCGUGCCAGCAGCCGCGGUAAUACGGAGGGUGCAAGCGUUAAUCGGAAUUACUGGGCGUAAAGCGCACGCAGGCGGUCUGUUAAGUCAGAUGUGAAAUCCCCGGGCUUAACCUGGGAACUGCAUUUGAAACUGGCAGGCUUGAGUCUCGUAGAGGGGGGUAGAAUUCCAGGUGUA